rnacentral:rRNA from 1 species
GACGAACGCUGGCGGCGUGCUUAACACAUGCAAGUCGAACGGAAAGGCCCUGCUUUUGUGGGGUGCUCGAGUGGCGAACGGGUGAGUAACACGUGAGUAACCUGCCCUUGACUUUGGGAUAACUUCAGGAAACUGGGGCUAAUACCGGAUAGGAGCUCCUGCUGCAUGGUGGGGGUUGGAACGUUUCGGCGGUUGGGGAUGGAUUCGCGGCUUAUCAGCUUGUUGGUGGGGUAGUGGCUUACCAAGGCUUUGACGGAUAGCCGGCCUGUGAGGGUGACCGGCCACAAUGGGACUGAGAGACGGCCCAGACGCCUACGGGAGGCAGCAGUGGGGAACAUUGCACAAUGAGCGGAAGCCUGAGGCAGCAACGCCGCGUGCGGAAUGACGGCCUUCGGGGUGUAAAACGCUUUCGCCUGUGACGAAGCGUGAGUGACGGUAAUGAGUAAAGAAGCACCGGCUAACUACGUG